CGCCCGUAAACGAUUUAACGUUACUGUACUCUCUUUUUUUUAUGGCAUUCAUGUCGGCAGUGUCAGUGCUUCAAAUGGCAAACUUAUUUUACACAAAACUUAAUGUAACAUAUUACAAAUAUAAUGCUUGGCAUCUUUUUAUAACAAAGGUAAUCUACCUUUCCUAGGUUUAAAUAAUUUUACUUCAACAUAAAAAGGACUAAAAUGUAGGUUACUUAGAUUUGUUGAACUGAUCUAAAUAUAAAUCAGGGAUGAGCAAAAUAAAAGACAAAGUGAUCUUCUACUUUUGUGGGUUGUUUCUAUACUCCUUAAAAUACAUCUUUACAUCAAAUCAUUUAAAAUACAUCACAGAGAUUUGAACUAAAACAUAAGUUAAGUUAAGAUCAUAGUCAGUUAUGUGAUUGUAACCUCUCCCAGAUCCAUUUUCACACAUAUUUGUAUCAUUUCAGGUCACUUAUUAUGUGAUGUAAAACUUAAUAUAAGUGAAUUGUUAAAUGUAUGCCACUGUAACAUACCUUUUAAGAGAGUGUUAAAUAUGUCAUGGUAACACACCUUUUGGCUAGAUGUACCAAGUAAUAUAAAUGUCUGCUACUUAUUUAGCACUAAUCUCAGUAUAGUUUAAAAAUGUAAAUUCCUAAUUUAUCAUGAUUAUAUCAUAUAGCAAGUAAUUAAAGGUCAUCUGAUAUAUGAAAUACAACCUAUAGUACUUACAUCUACUUCACAUAGUAUCUGGUGGAUAGUUUAACUAAAACUUUUAUUAAAUAUGUUCAAACCAAUAUCUACAGCCCAAAAGUCAGGCUUCUUUAAACUGGCUACAGACAUGGACAUGGACUCCAUGAGGUAAAAAAUUAUAAAUUUCAGAGAUCAUAUUACUUAAUGUGCCAUGUUAAUUUUUUUUUUGUUCAUGUGGAGAGUAUUUUCUAAUUUGAUAAUGUUAUAUAUUCACAUUGCUUGUCACAUCAAACCUUUUCUUGCAUUUUUAACUGGUGCAAUUAUUCCUACUGUAGG
rnacentral:lncRNA from 1 species